CCACUGGUGGCUCAGAGUAGAAUUCUUGUCUCCGGUGCAGGAGACCUGGGUUCAGUUCCCAGCCAAUGCA
rnacentral:tRNA from 1 species